rfam:Populus trichocarpa scaffold_1_contig_120, whole genome shotgun sequence.
UAAUUUGUUUGGGGCAUAUCUUUAUUUGGUUAUAGCAAAUCUAUACUUGACUACUUAAAAUCACCAAUGACAACUAUUAUGUGAAUAAUAACUUUUUAAAAU